rnacentral:rRNA from 1 species
GACGAACGCUGGCGGCGCGCCUAACACAUGCAAGUCGAACGGAGCGUACUGUGUGAAGCCCUUCAGGGUAGAACUUUGUAUUGCUUAGUGGCGAACGGGUGAGUAACACGUGAGCAACCUACCCUAGAGUGGGGGACAACAUCUGGAAACGGAUGCUAAUACCGCAUAAGACCACGAGGUCACAUGACCUUGAGGCCAAAGGAUUUAUUCGCUUUAGGGUGGGCUCGCGCCUGAUUAGCUAGUUGGUAAGGUAACGGCUUACCAAGGCAACGAUCAGUAGCCGGACUGAGAGGUCGAUCGGCCACAUUGGGACUGAGACACGGCCCAGACUCCUACGGGAGGCAGCAGUAGGGAAUUUUCGGCAAUGGGGGGAACCCUGACCGAGCAACGCCGCGUGAAGGAAGAAGGUUUUCGGAUUGUAAACUUCUGUUAUAAAGGAAGAACGGUACAUGGAGGGAAUGCCAUGUAAGUGACGGUACUUUAUGAGAAAGCCACGGCUAACUACGUGCCAGCAGCCGCAGUAACAC